ACGGUAACAGGAAUCAGCUUGCUGAUUCGCUGACGAGUGGCGGACGGGUGAGUAAUGUCUGGGAAACUGCCUGAUGGAGGGGGAUAACUACUGGAAACGGUAGCUAAUACCGCAUAACGUCGCAAGACCAAAGAGGGGGACCUUCGGGCCUCUUGCCAUCGGAUGUGCCCAGAUGGGAUUAGCUAGUAGGUGGGGUAACGGCUCACCUAGGCGACGAUCCCUAGCUGGUCUGAGAGGAUGACCAGCCACACUGGAACUGAGACACGGUCCAGACUCCUACGGGAGGCAGCAGUGGGGAAUAUUGCACAAUGGGCGCAAGCCUGAUGCAGCCAUGCCGCGUGUAUGAAGAAGGCCUUCGGGUUGUAAAGUACUUUCAGCGGGGAGGAAGGGAGUAAAGUUAAUACCUUUACCCAUUGACGUUACCCGCAGAAGAAGCACCGGCUAACUCCGUGCCAGCAGCCGCGGUAAUACGGAGGGUGCAAGCGUUAAUCGGAAUUACUGGGCGUAAAGCGCACGCAGGCGGUUUGUUAAGUCAGAUGUGAAAUCCCCGGGCUCAACCUGGGAACUGCAUCUGAUACUGGCAAGCUUGAGUCUCGUAGAGGGGGGUAGAAUUCCAGGUGUAGCGGUGAAAUGCGUAGAGAUCUGGAGGAAUACCGGUGGCGAAGGCGGCCCCCUGGACGAAGACUGACGCUCAGGUGCGAAAGCGUGGGGAGCAA
rnacentral:rRNA from 1 species